UGUCAUUGGGUAAAUGGAAGAUGUCAGA
rnacentral:piRNA from 1 species